UAAUUAUUGAAAGAUUUUUCAUAACAGAAAGACAGAUUGGAUCCUAGCAGCAGCACUCUAUUUCCUCCAAAAAAACCAGAAGACAGAUGGGCACAGAACGUCCAUCCACAAUUCACUUCAAGUGAAAGCACUAACCACUGUGCGAACUGCCUUUCAUCUAAACUGAAGAUCUCCAGAUGUGGACAAAGAUUCAAAUGGAGUAACUGCCUAGCUGCUCAGGCCGAGGCCCUGUGCUAAACAGCAAAAGGCAAAUAUUACCCUCAAUGACCAUGGAGGACCCUGAGGUAGACAACUGGGUCUAAGAGACACUGGACAGUUCCACACCACAAAUCCUGGACAGGAGUAAAGUGACCAACUACCCCAGGAUGUAACCAGCACCCAGCUUUCUCAGGUCCCCCAAGAAGGACUUCACCGCCCACAAACAAGCAGGAAGCAGUCUUGAGACCCCACCAUCCGAAUUCCUUCAACCUACUAUGCCUAACUCCCUGCCUUUUUAUUAUAAGAAAAAGAUGGGAAUGUUGUUAUCUGCUGGCCUGGUCUGUCCCUUUAAGAGACAAGCUUUCCCACUCCCAACCUCCUGCUUCUGCUGUGGCAAGUGGAUCUCCCACCUCUCCAGUGUGUCACGUCCC